UGCUAGUUGCUGUGUUGGUAAUUUGGUAUAUAGUUUUUUAAUAUGGAUACAAAUCAAAAUGAGGGAAAUGUUGAUCAAGCUCCUAAUUUGCCCUAUGAAGAUGUUGAUGCCGACUUUGAGCUCACCCCUUGGACUUGAUUUAAUGAUUGUGUUAUCUUUAACUUGCUCUAGUUGAUUUAAAUUGAGAACAUAUUUUGUACUAAAAACUAGUUUAUUAACUCUUCCUUUAGAUUAUUAGUUAUGUUUAAGACUUGAUAUUUGAUUAUUAAUGUUUGUAAGACUCGCAUUUUAAGUUUUAAGACAUUAUUUCAAUUUUAUUAA